UAAAAAAAAAAAAAAAAAAAACUCCUCUCUCUGUGUUUCUGUAGAGAGACAAAGAGCCAGCAAGAGCGCGUCUGUAUUUUGUGUUUAGAUCUGAGAGGAAUGGGGAUGAUGAUAUUUUUUGUGUUGCAAAGGGAUGGGGCGUAUAUGGAUCUGAAUGGAGGGUGUAGAUGCAGAUUUGGUGUGGGAAAAAGAUAUUGGCCGUU
rnacentral:misc_RNA from 1 species